rnacentral:lncRNA from 1 species
UUGUUUUCUAUAUAGUAUACGUAUGUUUAUAUAUACUUUAUACAUAUUGUACAAGCCCAAAUUGCCCGGGCCCAAACAAAAACACAAAGCAGGCAAUUUCAGUUUUUUAAUAGCAGGCCUAAACUCGUCUAAGGCCCAACAAAUAAGUGACCCAAUAACAAAACCAACCUAAGCCCAACACAGACAUCAGCCCAAAACACACACACAAAAAAAAAAACAAAAGAGAAAGGAAUCCUAGCCCUAAGCAAUAGGGAGCGCCGCAACAAGCCCUCAGCGCCGCAACGGCCCUCGCCUCUAGCGGCCUCUCCAAG